UUAGUGGCGAACGGGUGAGUAACGCGUGAGCAACCUGCCUUAAAGAGGGGGACAACAGCUGGAAACGGCUGCUAAUACCGCAUAACAUAUUUGGGUGGCAUCAUCUGAAUAUCAAAGGAGAAAUCCGCUUUGAGAUGGGCUCACGUCUGAUUAGCUAGAUGGUAAGGUAACGGCUUACCAUGGCUUCGAUCAGUAGCCGGACUGAGAGGUUGAACGGCCACAUUGGGACUGAGAUACGGCCCAGACUCCUACGGGAGGCAGCAGUGGGGAAUAUUGGGCAAUGGGCGAAAGCCUGACCCAGCAAUGCCGCGUGAAGGAAGAAGGUUUUCGGAUUGUAAACUUCUUUUAUGAGGGACGAAAAAAAUGACGGUACCUCAUGAAUAAGCCACGGCUAACUACGUGCCAGCAGCCGCGGUAAUACGUAGGUGGCAAGCGUUGUCCGGAUUUACUGGGUGUAAAGGGCGCGUAGGCGGGAGCAUAAGUCAGGUGUGAAAUCUCUGGGCUCAACCCAGAACUGCACUUGAAACUGUGUUUCUUGAGUGAUGAGAGGCAGGCGGAAUUCCUAGUGUAGCGUGAAAUGCGUAGAUAUA
rnacentral:rRNA from 1 species